rnacentral:rRNA from 1 species
GACAUGCAGAGAACUUUCCAGAGAUGGAUUGGUGGCCUUCGGGAACGUCUGACACAGGUGCUGCAUGGCUGUCGUCAGCUCGUGUCGUGAAAUGUUGGGUUAAGUCCGUAACGAGCGCAACCCUUGUCCUUAGUUACCAGCACGUUAUGGUGGGCACUCUAAGGAGACUGCCGGUGACAAACCGGAGGAAGGUGGGGAUGACGUCAAGUCAUCAUGGCCCUUACGGCCUGGGCUACACACGUGCUACAAUGGUCGGUACAAAGGGUUGCCAAGCCGCGAGGUGGAGCUAAUCCCAUAAAACCGAUCGUAGUCCGGAUCGCAGUCUGCAACUCGACUGCGUGAAGUCGGAAUCGCUAGUAAUCGUGAAUCAGAAUGUCACGGUGAAUACGUUCCCGGGCCUU